rnacentral:rRNA from 1 species
UACGUAGGGCGCAAGCGUUAUCCGGAAUUAUUGGGCGUAAAGAGCUCGUAGGCGGUUUGUCGCGUCUGCUGUGAAAAUCCGGGGCUCAACCCCGGACUUGCAGUGGGUACGGGCAGACUAGAGUGUGGUAGGGGGAGACUGGAAUUCCUGGUGUAGCGGUGGAAUGCGCAGAUAUCAGGAGGAACACCGAUGGCGAAGGCAGGUCACUGGGCCGCAACUGACGCUGAGGAGCGGAAAGCAUGGGGGAGCGAACAGG